rnacentral:misc_RNA from 1 species
AGCAGCCGCGGUAAUUCCAGCUCCAAUAGCGUAUAUUAAAGUUGUUACAGUUAAAAAGCUCGUAGUUGAAUUUCGAGAUCAAUUUUCUUGGUCAUACCUUUGUAUGUACUGGUCUUAUUGAUUUCUCCCUUCUGAUGAACCAUGAUGUCAUUAAUUUGGUGUUAUGGGGAAUCAGGUCUAUUACUUUGAAAAAUUAGAGUGUUUAAAGCAGGCUCACGCUUGAAUACAUUAGCAUGGAAUAAUGAAAUAGGACGUUUGAUUCUAUUUUGUUGGUUUCUAGGAUUGACGUAAUGAUUAAUAGGGAUAGUUGGGGGCAUUAGUAUUCAAUUGUCAGAGGUGAAAUUCUUGGAUUUAUUGAAGACUAACUACUGCGAAAGCAUUUGCCAAAGAUGUUUUCAUUAAUCAAGAACGAAAGUUAGGGGAUGG